rnacentral:rRNA from 1 species
GUACACACCGCCCGUCACACCAUGAGAGUUGGAAAUACCCGAAGCCUGUGAGCUAACAAACGAGGCAGCAGUCGAAGGUAGAGCCAAUGAUUGGGGUGAAGUCGUAACAAGGUACC